UACGUAGGGUGCAAGCGUUGUCCGGAAUUAUUGGGCGUAAAGAGCUCGUAGGCGGUUUGUCGCGUCUGCUGUGAAAUCUGGGGGCUCAACCCCCCAGCCUGCAGUGGGUACGGGCAGACUAGAGUGCGGUAGGGGAGAUUGGAAUUCCUGGUGUAGCGGUGGAAUGCGCAGAUAUCAGGAGGAACACCGGUGGCGAAGGCGGGUCUCUGGGCCGAUACUGACGCUGAGGAGCGAAAGCGUGGGGAGCGAACAGG
rnacentral:rRNA from 1 species